rnacentral:rRNA from 1 species
CUACUGGGGUUUCUAAUCCUGUUUGAUCCCCACGCUUUCGAGCCUCAGCGUCAAUCAUAGCUUAGUAAGCUGCCUUCGCAAUCGGUGUUCUGUGACAUAUCUAUGCAUUUCACCGCUACUUGUCACAUUCCGCCUACCUCAACUAUAUUCAAGUCCGUCAGUAUCAAAGGCACUGCGAUGGUUGAGCCACCGUCUUUCACCCCUGACUUAACAGACCGCCUACGCUCCCUUUAAACCCAAUAAAUCCGGAUAACGCUUGGAUCCUCCGUAUUACCGCGGCUGCUGGCAC